rnacentral:rRNA from 1 species
AUUGAACGCUGGCGGCAGGCCUGACACAUGCAAGUCGAGCGGAGCGGCGGACGGGUGAGUAAUGCCUAGGAAUCUGCAUGGUAGUGGGGGAUAACGUCAGGAAACGGGCGCUAAUAUCGCAUAAUAUCAGAUGAGCAUAGGUAGGAUUGGGUAGUUGGUGGGGUAAAGGCCUACCAAGGCUACUAUCAGUAACUGUUCUGAGAGGAUGAUCAGCCACACUGUAACUGAUACACGGUCCAGAGUCCUACGGGAGGCAGCAGUGGUGAAUAUUGGACAAUGGGCUAAAGCCUGAUCCAGCCAUGCCUCGUGUGUGAAGAAGGUCUUCGGAUUGUAAAGCACUUUAAGUUGGGAGGCGUUACCAACAGAAUAAGCACCGGCUAACUUCGUGCCAGCAGCCGCGGUAAGAC